rnacentral:rRNA from 1 species
UUUAGAGUUUGAUCCAUGGCUCAGAACGAACGCUGGCGGUGUGCUUAAUACAUGCAAGUCUACGAGAAAGGGGUAGCAAUAUCCCGAGUAAAGUGGCGUCCGGGUGAGUAACACGUAGGUAACCUGCCUUUUAGUGGGGAAUAACAUUUCCAACGAGGUGCUAAUUCCGCAUAAUAUCCGCUGAAUGCAUGUCCGGUGGAUCAAAGAUGGCGCAAGCUAUCGCUAAAAGAUGGACCUGCGGCCCAUUAGCUAGUUGGCGGGGUAACGGCCCACCAAGGCAACAAUGGGUAGCCGACCUGAGGGGGUGAUCGGCCACACUGGGACUGAGAUACGGCCCAGACUCCUACGGGAGGCAGCAGUAAGGAAUAUUGCGCAAUGGCCUAACGGCUGACGCAGCAACACCGCGUGAGGGAUGAAGAUCUUUUUGAUUGUAAACCUCUGUAGGAAGGGAAAAGUAAUUUCCGUGUGAAUAAUGCGGAAAUUUGAUGGACCUUCAAAGAAGCACCGCAUCC